UACGUAGGGGGCAAGCGUUGUCCGGAUUUAUUGGGCGUAAAGAGCGUGUAGGCGGCCAUACAGGUCUGUUGUGAAAACUCGAGGCUCAACCUCGAGACGCCGAUGGAAACCGUAUGGCUAGAGUCCGGAAGAGGAGAGUGGAAUUCCUGGUGUAGCGGUGAAAUGCGCAGAUAUCAGGAAGAACACCCGUGGCUAAGGCGGCUCUCUAGUACGGUACUGACGCUGAGGCACGAAAGCGUGGGGAGCAAACAGG
rnacentral:rRNA from 1 species